GAUGAACGCUGGCGGCGUGCCUAAUACAUGCAAGUCGAGCGAACAGACGAGGAGCUUGCUCCUCUGACGUUAGCGGCGGACGGGUGAGUAACACGUGGAUAACCUACCUAUAAGACUGGGAUAACUUCGGGAAACCGGAGCUAAUACCGGAUAAUAUAUUGAACCGCAUGGUUCAAUAGUGAAAGACGGUUUUGCUGUCACUUAUAGAUGGAUCCGCGCCGCAUUAGCUAGUUGGUAAGGUAACGGCUUACCAAGGCAACGAUGCGUAGCCGACCUGAGAGGGUGAUCGGCGACACUGGAACUGAGACACGGUCCAGACACCUACGGGAGGCAGCAGUAGGGAAUCUUCCGCAAUGGGCGAAAGCCUGACGGAGCAACGCCACGUGAGUGAUGAAGGUCUUCGGAUCGUAAAACUCUGUUAGGAGGGAAGAACGAAUGUGUAAGUAACUAUGCACGUCUUGACGGUACCUAAUCAGAAAGCCACGGCUAACUACGUG
rnacentral:rRNA from 1 species